rnacentral:rRNA from 1 species
AUGAACGCUGGCGGUCUGCUUAACACAUGCAAGUCGAGCGGCAGCGCGGGGGCAACCCUGGCGGCGAGCGGCGAACGGGUGAGUAAUGCUUCGGAAUCUACCCUUUGGUGGGGAAUAACCUGGGGAAACUCAGGCUAAUACCGCAUACGACCUACGGGUGAAAGCGGGGGAUCGCAAGACCUCGCGCCAUUGGAUGAGCCGAAGUCGGAUUAGCUAGUUGGUGGGGUAAAGGCCUACCAAGGCGACGAUCCGUAGCUGGUCUGAGAGGACGACCAGCCACACUGGGACUGAGACACGGCCCAGACUCCUACGGGAGGCAGCAGUGGGGAAUAUUGGACAAUGGGGGAAACCCUGAUCCAGCGACGCCGCGUGUGUGAAGAA